GGGCUACGUAUGAGGGAAAUCAGAACUUACUUCUUGCAAGGCACUCGCUUUGAACACAAUUAGAUAUGGAGAAAGACGUUUGGUUUUGAAAUUUCCUACAUGAGGCAUUUGCCUCAAUGAAGUUACGGCCCUGUUAAAAUAAAUGUAAGGGAGGUUUCCUGAGACAAUAUACCUCAAGUUCAAUGAACCCAAUUUUCAGACAUUUCAAGUAUAUUUAAAUAAUAUUUAUGCUGUUAUUAUUAAAAAUUUGGGAAGUGUUUCCCGUCUUUUUUUGGGAAAAAGAUGAACUUAUGAAAAAUCUGGUGCUAUCUCAUGCUUUCGAUUAGACCGGCGGAGUUAUUUAUUUUCAAUACAUUGCAAGUCAGGUAAUCUAUUUUCAAACUACCACAGAACAAACCAUUUAUUUUUGUGAUUAUCAAGGCUGAGUUUUUUAUUUUC
rnacentral:lncRNA from 1 species